rnacentral:rRNA from 1 species
UCGAGAAUCUUCGGCAAUGGGCGCAAGCCUGACCGAGCGACGCCGCGUGGAGGACGAAGGCCUUCGGGUUGUAAACUCCUGUCGAGGGGAAGGAAGGGCCGCUGCAGAGGCGGUCUUGACCGAUCCCUGGAGGAAGCACGGGCUAAGUUCGUGCCAGCAGCCGCGGUAAGACGAACCGUGCGAACGUUAUUCGGAAUCACUGGGCUUAAAGCGCGUGUAGGCGGGCCAGCACGUCGGGCGCUGAAAUCCCCCGGCUCAACCGGGGAACGGGCACCGAUACGACUGGCCUGGAGGGGAGUAGGGGGACCUGGAACUUCCGGUGGAGCGGUGAAAUGCGUUGAGAUCGGAAGGAACGCCCGUGGCGAAAGCGAGGUCCUGGGCUCUUACUGACGCUGAGACGCGAAAGCCAGGGGAGCGAACGGGAUUAGAUACCCCCGUAGUCC